UCAAGCUACCAAGGGCACACGGUGGAUGCCUUGGCACCAAGAGCCGAUGAAGGACGUAGCGUUGUUGCGAUAAGCCUCGGGUAGCUGCUAGCAAGCACUCGAUCCGGGGAUUUCCGAAUGGGGCAACCCACCUGGAGGAAUGUCCAGGUACUCCCGGUUGAAUAUAUAGGCCGGGUAGAGGGCACGCGGAGAACUGAAACAUCUAAGUAUCCGCAGGAAAAGAUGUCAUCCCCUGAGUAGUGGCGAGCGAAAAGGGGUGAGGCUAAACCGAGACGGCGUGAUAGCCGGCAGGCGUUUCCGUCUCGGGGUCGCGGGACCUCAGCGUUCCCUCUGCCGAGGGGACAAGGAGUUACAAAGUCGUUGUCUAGCCGAACGGCAUUGGAAAAGCCGGCCGCAGAGGGUGACAGCCCCGUACGCGAAAGGCACACGACCUCCUUUGAGAGCUCCCAAGUACCACGGAACACGUGGAAUUCUGUGGGAAUCUGGGCGGACCAUCGUCCAAGCCUGAAUACUCUUGGUGACCGAUAGUGAACAAGUACCGUGAGGGAAAGGUGAAAAGCACCCCAGACGGGGAGUUAAAAGUACCUGAAACCGUGUGCUUACAAGCCGUGAGAGGGCUAUGCCCCUAGUGGGAAUGCCUGAUUGCGUGCCUUUUGUAGAAUGAGCCGGCGAGUUACUUCCAUGUGGCGAGGUUAAGGGGUUGACACCCGGAGCCGUAGCGAAAGCGAGUCUGAAUAGGGCGUGACCACCGUAAUGGUGGUGGUAGUCGCAUGGAGUAGACCCGAAACCGAGUGACCUAUCCAUGGUCAGGGUGAAGCGCGGGUAAGACCGCGUGGAAGCCCGAACCGACCCCGGUUGAAAACGCGGCGGAUGAACUGUGGAUAGCGGUGAAAUGCCAAUCGAACUCGGAUAUAGCUGGUUCUCCUCGAAAUGCAUUUAGGUGCAGCGUCGUCGAUGGGUUUGUGGCCGGUAGAGCACUGAAUGGGCUAGGGGCGAUCACCUCGUUACCAAACCCAACCAAACUCCGAAUGGCAACAAACUUUCCGGCGGCAGUGAGACGGUGGGGGCUAAGCUUCAUCGUCGAAAGGGAAACAGCCCAGACCACCGGCUAAGGUCCCAAAUCGCAAGCUAAGUGGAAAAGGAUGUCACGGUGUCCAGACAACCAGGAUGUGGGCUUAGAGGCAGCCACCAUUUAAAGAGUGCGUAACAGCUCACUGGUCGAAUGUCGUGGCGCCGACAAUGAUCGGGGCUCAAGCUUGCAACCGAAGCCGUGGAUGGCCUUCCUUCACAGGAAGGUCGUGGUAGAGGAGCGUUCUGUUUGCUGCGAAGCCUGACCGUAAGGACGGGUGGAGCGGACAGAAGUGAGAAUGCCGGCACAAGUAGCGAGAAACGCGUGAGAAACGUGUUCGCCGUAAACCUAAGGUUUCCUGGGCUACGUUAAUCGACCCAGGGUCAGUCGGGACCUAAGCCGAGGCCGAAAGGCGUAGGCGAUGGACAGUUGGUCAACAUUCCAACACCGCCGCUGGUUCGUUAUCAGCAAUGGGGGAACGGGGAAGGAUAGGCCUGACGGGGCGACGGUUGUCCCCGACGGAGCCUUGUAGGAGGUCAAGUAGGCAAAUCCGCUUGACGCUAACUCCAAGAAGGAUCCCAAGACACUUUGUGUCGAUGGGGCCGAUUCCAUGCCUCCAAGAAAAGCCUCUAGCGAGAACCACGGCGCCCGUACCGCAGACCGACACAGGUAGGUGGGAAGAGGAUUCCAAGGCGAUCGAGGGAAACGUGGCUAAGGAACUCGGCAAAAUGUCCCCGUAACUUCGGGAGAAGGGGAGCCCUUGGCGGUGAUCCGAUUUACUCGGUGAGCUGACGAGGGCCGCAGAGAAAAGGCCCAUCCGACUGUUUACUAAAAACACAGGUCUCUGCUAAAGCGUAAGCUGACGUAUAGGGGCUGACGCCUGCCCGGUGCCGGAAGGUUAAGUGGAGGGGUGCAAGCUCUGAAAUGAAGCCCCGGUAAACGGCGGCCGUAACUAUAACGGUCCUAAGGUAGCGAAAUUCCUUGUCGGGUAAGUGAAUAAACGAGCCCGUACCGGCUAAUAUCGGUGAAGCCCGAACGACAGCGUGCGGCUGUGCGAGGGUGAUACCGAGGGAAGUCGUCCAACGCAGGUUGGAUUGACCCUGUAUCGACUGAGGCGAUGUGCCGAAGGUUGUCACCCGCAUCACACACUCGGUGAUGCAAAUCCUUGUGGCAGCCAAUACGCCGGCAAAGCCUAUUCGGGCUUUGAAGUUAUAGUCAGUGCCUCCAGUAAUGGAGGGAAGACAUGAAGUUCCGACCCGCACGAAUGGCGUAACGAGAUGGGCGCUGUCUCGGCCACGUACUCGGCGAAACUGAAGUACCUGUGAAGAUACAGGUUACCCGCAGCAGGACGGAAAGACCCCGUGGAGCUUUACUAUAACUUGCCACUGAAAUGGGGUCCAGCAUGUAGAGGAUAGCUGGGAGACUGUGAAGUCGGGCCGCUAGGUUCGGUGGAGUCAACCUUGGAAUACCAGCCUUGCUGGAUUUUAUUUCUAACCGGCGCCGUUAUCCGGUGUCGGGACCGUGGCAGGCGGGUAGUUUGACUGGGGCGGUCGCCUCCCAAACGGUAACGGAGGCGCCCAAAGGUUCCCUCAGCCUGGAUGGAAAUCAGGCCUUGGCGUGUAAUGGCGUAAGGGAGCUUGACUGUGAGGCCGACAAGCCGAGCAGGGACGAAAGUCGGGCAUAGUGAUCCGACGACUCUGAAUGGAAAGGUCGUCGCUCAACGGAUAAAAGCUACCCCGGGGAUAACAGGCUGAUCUUGCCCAAGCGUUCACAGCGACGGCAAGGUUUGGCACCUCGAUGUCGGCUCGUCGCAUCCUGGGGGUGUAGUCGCUCCCAAGGGUUGGGCUGUUCGCCCAUUAAAGCGGUACGCGAGCUGGGUUUAGAA
rnacentral:rRNA from 1 species